GGAAAUAAAUAUUUAUAAGAUUUGACCAUAGAACAUUAUAUAUAAUGCUUCAACAGAAACCCCCCAUCUGGGCAAUGGCAUUUUUCAUCUAAACAGGAUGGAUAAAACGCAUUAACAAUUCAAGUCGUUCCCCCGACAGCCUAUCGACCAUCCACUAACAAGGGGAAAGCUUUGUGCGAAUGCAAGAUUAGACCAAACAAGUCUAGACAUCAUACUCAAAAAUAAACCACACAAUAAUCGGGCAUCAGAAAAAGGGAGAAGAGAAGAACAAAGGGAAGAUAAUAAAAGGAACCCUCCUUAUGCUAAACACUAAGGGCAAUUAUCCGAGUCACAUCCAUCAUCUCCAGAGUACAGAUUGU
rnacentral:misc_RNA from 1 species